AUUGAACGCUGGCGGCAGGCCUAACACAUGCAAGUCGGACGGUAGCACAGAGGAGCUUGCUCCUCGGGUGACGAGUGGCGGACGGGUGAGUAAUGUCUGGGGAUCUGCCCGAUAGAGGGGGAUAACCACUGGAAACGGUGGCUAAUACCGCAUAACGUCGCAAGACCAAAGAGGGGGACCUUCGGGCCUCUCACUACCGGAUGAACCCAGAUGGGAUUAGCUAGUAGGCGGGGUAAUGGCCCACCUAGGGUACGAUCCCUAGCUGGUCUGAGAGGAUGACCAGCCACACUGGAACUGAGACACGGUCCAGACUCCUACGGGAGGCAGCAGUGGGGAAUAUUGCACAAUGGGCGCAAGCCUGAUGCAGCCAUGCCGCGUGUAUGAAGAAGGCCUUCGGGUUGUAAAGUACUUUCAGCGGGGAGGAAGGCGGUGAGGUUAAUAACCUCACCGAUUGACGUUACCCGCAGAAGAAGCACCGGCUAACUCCGUGCCAGCAGCCGCCGUAA
rnacentral:rRNA from 1 species